GCUGGGAAUCGGGAGGGAUCUUGAGUGAAUUCCAAGAAUUUGAAAUUUGAAAUCCUAAAGGAUAAAGAGUAGACGAGCUGGAAUAGUACCAUUCUUCAACGGAUUUGAGAGGAGGAUCGUUCGAUUCAAGGGAAAGGACGAAGAGGCAAGAAGAUGGAGACACCUGGAUAAUUCGACAACGACUCUUGUACGAAAAAGAACACGCUGCAGGUGAGAGAGGGAGAGGGACACGAGAGCUGGGUCGGGUCGCGUUCUUUAUUGGAGUUGCGAUUUAAUUUUCUGGGUUUGGUCGCGUCUGGGGAAGAAGAACAGUGCAG
rnacentral:lncRNA from 1 species